rnacentral:tRNA from 2 species
GGAGAGAUGGCUCAGCAGUUAAGAGCACUGACUGCUUUUCCGGAGGUCCUGAGUUCAAAUCUCAGUAGCUACA